rnacentral:rRNA from 1 species
CCAUGCAGUCGAGCGGUAGCACAGAGAGCUUGCUCUCGGGUGACGAGCGGCGGACGGGUGAGUAAUGUCUGGGAAACUGCCUGAUGGAGGGGGAUAACUACUGGAAACGGUAGCUAAUACCGCAUAAUGUCGCAAGACCAAAGUGGGGGACCUUCGGGCCUCAUGCCAUCAGAUGUGCCCAGAUGGGAUUAGCUAGUAGGUGGGGUAACGGCUCACCUAGGCGACGAUCCCUAGCUGGUCUGAGAGGAUGACCAGCCACACUGGAACUGAGACACGGUCCAGACUCCUACGGGAGGCAGCAGUGGGGAAUAUUGCACAAUGGGCGCAAGCCUGAUGCAGCCAUGCCGCGUGUGUGAAGAAGGCCUUCGGGUUGUAAAGCACUUUCAGCGGGGAGGAAGGCGUUAAGGUUAAUAACCUUGGCGAUUGACGUUACCCGCAGAAGAAGCACCGGCUAACUCCGUGCCAGCAGCCGCGGUAAUACGGAGGGUGCAAGCGUUAAUCGGAAUUACUGGGCGUAAAGCGCACGCAGGCGGUCUGUCAAGUCGGAUGUGAAAUCCCCGGGCUCAACCUGGGAACUGCAUUCGAAACUGGCAGGCUAGAGUCUUGUAGAGGGGGGUAGAAUUCCAGGUGUAGCGGUGAAAUGCGUAGAGAUCUGGAGGAAUACCGGUGGCGAAGGCGGCCCCCUGGACAAAGACUGACGCUCAGGUGCGAAAGCGUGGGGAGCAAACAGGAUUAGAUACCCUGGUAGUCACGCCGUAAACGAUGUCGAUUUGGAGGUUGUGCCCUUGAGGCGUGGCUUCCGGAGCUAACGCGUUAAAUCGACCGCCUGGGGAGUACGGCCGCAAGGUUAAAACUCAAAUGAAUUGACGGGGGCCCGCACAAGCGGUGGAGCAUGUGGUUUAAUGUCGAUGCAACGCGAAGAACCUUACCUGGUCUUGACAUCCACAGAACUUUCCAGAGAUGGAUUGGUGCCUUCGGGAACUGUGAGACAGGUGCUGCAUGGCUGUCGUCAGCUCGUGUUGUGAAAUGUUGGGUUAAGUCCCGCAACGAGCGCAACCCUUAUCCUUUGUUGCCAGCGGUCCGGCCGGGAACUCAAAGGAGACUGCCAGUGAUAAACUGGAGGAAGGUGGGGAUGACGUCAAGUCAUCAUGGCCCUUACGACCAGGGCUACACACGUGCUACAAUGGCAUAUACAAAGAGAAGCGACCUCGCGAGAGCAAGCGGACCUCAUAAAGUAUGUCGUAGUCCGGAUUGGAGUCUGCAACUCGACUCCAUGAAGUCGGAAUCGCUAGUAAUCGUAGAUCAGAAUGCUACGGUGAAUACGUUCCCGGGCCUUGUACACACCGCCCGUCACACCAUGGGAGUGGGUUGCAAAAGAAGUAGGUAGCUUAACCUUCGGGAGGGCGCUACCACU